rnacentral:rRNA from 1 species
CAAUAGCGUAUAUUAAAGUUGUUGCAGUUAAAAAGCUCGUAGUUGGAUUUCGGGGCAGCCUGGCUGGUCCGCCGCAAGGCGAGUACUGGUCAGCCGCCCUUCCUCUCGAAAGCCCCGACUGCUCUUCGUUGCAGUGGUCGGGUAGUUCGGGACGUUUACUUUGAAAAAAUUAGAGUGUUCAAGGCAGGCCUACGCCUGAAUACAUUAGCAUGGAAUAAUGGAAGAGGACCUCGGUCCUAUUUUGUUGGUUUCCAGGGCCGAGGUAAUGAUUAAGAGGGACAGUUGGGGGCAUUCGUAUUUAAUUGUCAGAGGUGAAAUUCUCGGAUUUAUGAAAGACGAACAACUGCGAAAGCAUUUGCCAAGGAUGUUUUCAUUAA